UUUUAUAUAGUAUAUGAUUGUACAGUUACCUUCCAAGUAAAAAGGCUCUACUGUCUGAGUAUGGUUC
rnacentral:tRNA from 1 species